rnacentral:lncRNA from 1 species
UCUCUCUCUCUUCACUUUAUCUCUCGAUCAGUCGAUCUCAACUCUCUCUACACUUUUGAUUUCUCCAUCAGUCGAUCUCCUUUUGAUCAAUCACAAAUUUCAUCAACAAAUUAACACAUGUUCACAACAACAAAUUAAUACAUGUUCACAUGAUUACAUAACUAAUCAGUUUCCCCCAAACUAUUUAGGAUUUAGAGGGUUUUUUCUUUUUGGAACCAGAACCAGAACCAGAUUUACAAGGUUUUCUUUUCACAUUAUCAUUCUCCUCUUCAUCUUCAACAUCAUCACUCUCACUAUCAUCAUCAUUAUCGUCGUUGUCAUUGCUUUCAUCAUCAUCGCUUAAAGAUGGAUCAAGACGAGCUGCAUCAAUAGCCCAUUGUAUCACCUUUGACACCUCAUCCUCAUGAUUACUACUAGUACUACCAUCACCACCGUCCGAUCUGACUUUACUCAUUUCUGAUGAUGAUUCCAUCAUCGAAUCUGACGAACCAGAACAAGAACCAUUCUUCAGAGUAGAAAACCUAGUAAACAUAUCUCCUCCAUCUUCUGAUCUUCAUCUUUCUUUUUCUCUUUCAAUUGACUUCUUGAUGAUCCUUCCAUUGGUGGCACAUUCGUAAUUGUUU